UACGUAGGGGGCAAGCGUUGUCCGGAUUUAUUGGGCGUAAAGAGCUUGUAGGCGGUUUGUCGCGUCUGCUGUGAAAAUCCGGGGCUCAACCCCGGACUUGCAGUGGGUACGGGCAGACUAGAGUGUGGUAGGGGAGACUGGAAUUCCUGGUGUAGCGGUGAAAUGCGCAGAUAUCAGGAGGAACACCCGUAGCGAAGGCGGCACUCUGGGCCGAUACUGACACUGAGGAGCGAAAGCGUGGGGAGCGAACAGG
rnacentral:rRNA from 1 species